rnacentral:lncRNA from 10 species
GAUUGAAUUCACAGGUCCAUGUUGUAUUUCGUUGUCAUGUCUCCUUGGUUGGCAAUAUAUGAACGUAUCUCAGUCGUGGAAGACAUUGACACUUUUGAAGAGUACAGCUCCAUGUGAUUUGUCCUUGCUGAUGAAGCAGUAACAUAUACAGCAUUGCUCUAGUGUCUGCAUUCUGUGGAACGGAGGACAUGGAUUCUCACUAUGACACCCAGGCUGGAGUGCAGUGGCACAAUCAUAGCUGACUACAGCCUCGAAUUUCUGGGCUCAAGCAAGGCUUUCAUCUCAACCUCCCCAGGAGCUGGGAUUACAGAUGGUGUCAGAAGCGGGGUUCAAAGUAGAGCUUUAAUGACCCCCAGAAGUGCUGAGUGAACAAGCAAGGUACCUGCAAGGACCCACUUGUGUCCUUUGAUCUCUCAGAGCAGUGGGAGUGCAGACUGCAUGAGUUCCUUGACUAUAGAGAGGCUGAUUCUGGGGAAUAUCUGCAAGGAAUGCACAGAUGUGACCUGUCCACAAGUCUCCCAGCAGUGGGUACUGGCACCAGCUACGUUGGGAAUGACAGGGGAGUCACAUAGACUCGGAGAUUUCUUGGAUAUAGGUGGUCUUAGUGUAUUGGCAUUCUCAAAUACCAGUUGUGAUAGUAAUGAACAGUCACAUGGACAGACUCAGGACCUCCUGGUUAGCCAGAGUGGUAUAGGCGAUGGUGAUAGCUGAGGUCAUGAACAAGUUUUCUCCUUCCUGGGUGCAGUGUUAUUUUACCUGAAUGCUGUAAUGGACUGUGUCAGCUGGCCUCCACCCAGGAGGUGUUGGUUGCAAAACAGCACUAGCUGUGGUAGUAGUAGCAGGAUUUGUGCCUGUUUUUUUGCAGUACUCUGGUUUCUCGGGAGAUGGAUGGGGCCAUAAAGCUCCCCAAAGUUUUCAUCCAUUGUGUUAAGCUACAUUUCCCACUCACCCCCUGAUUCUGGCCAAGAGAGUUCUUCCCAACUUGAGGUUAUAUUGCUAAAUUCAGUUGGGAGCUUCUUUUAACCUGCCACUGCUGCCUUAGUUGGCAAACUUCCACAAGGGUCCCAGUGAGGCAAAAUAAGGAAUGACUUCCUUCAGUCCACGCUGUAGACUGAGAAUGCACACCAGGCUCCUCCCACUGCCAUUCCUAGUUCCUACUUUUCUAUUUCUCACUGCUCCCUAAACCAGUUCCAGUGCUGGGUAGGGUUAAGGCCUUCUGCAUGGGCUGGAUUGCCAGGUUCCCCAGUGGGGAUGUAUGUCCUAGAGGCAGUGUCUUCCCCUCUCAUACUCUCAGUACUUAGAGUUUUUUGCCUGGCUCAUGGUAUAGCCUGCAGCCUGCUGUUUCUUUCAAAGAAUCUGUGGAUUUCAGUUUUCCUUUAAGUUUCUGUAUUGUUUCUUGAAAAUGAUGUUCACAGUAUGAAUCUACACACUAUUUUGCCUUUCCAAGUGGGAGAGGCAUGCUAAAAUUGCCUCCAAUCCACCUUCUUGGAGCCAAUCAUCUUUUUAAAGAAUGGUGGGGCUGGGUGCGGUGGCUCACGCCUGCAAAUGUCAGCAUCUUGGGAGGCUGAGGCAGGUGGAUCACGAGGUCAGGCGAUCGAGACCAUUCUGGCCAACAUGGUGAAACCCCAUCUUUACUAAAAAUACAAAAAGUAGCUGGCCGUGGUGGCACGUGCCUGUAGUCCCAGUUACUCGGGAGGCUGAGGCAAUAGAAUCACCUGAGUCUGGGAGGCGGAGGUUGCAGUGAGCCGAGAUCAUGCCACUACACUCCAGCCUGGCGACAGAGCGAGAGUCCAUCUCAAAAAAAAUAAAUAAAUAAAAAUAAAAAGAAAAGAAAAAGAUUGGUGGAGUGUGGUCAAUAUUCCUUGUAGACACUAUAUUGUCCCAAUAUCUAAAGAGUUAUUAUUUAUAUUUUUUUAAAAAACUACCACUUACACAUUGUAGCUGCUAAAAGAUAGAGAUAGAGAUACUUUUACUAACUCUUACAUGAGUUUUUAUGUCCCUGUCCAG